rnacentral:rRNA from 1 species
UACGGAGGGGGCGAGCGUUGUUCGGAAUCAUUGGGCGUAAAGGGCGCGUAGGCGGUCGGGUAAGUCGGUUGUGAAAUCCCCUGGCUUAACCAGGGAAGUGCGUCCGAAACUGCCUGACUAGAGGCCGGGAGAGGAGAGUGGAAUUCCCAGUGUAGCGGUGAAAUGCGUAGAUAUUGGGAGGAACACCGGUGGCGAAGGCGGCUCUCUGGACCGGUUCUGACGCUGAGGCGCGAAAGCUAGGGGAG